AUUUCCAGUGGCUGAUUUUUGUUUAUAGAGUAGGAGCUGCUGCCCUUGCUUGUUUUUCUCAUGUCUUUCUGUUACACUUGAUAGGUGACCAGUAACUUAGCCUGCACCUGCAGUGAGAUCUCAGUGCUGCUGAGAGCACAGGUUGAUUUGUGAAGUCAGCUUACUUUGUUGCAAAGAUUAAGCCUACCCUAUGCAGGGAAACCAACAUCAUCAUCAUCAUCAUUUGUUGUUAUAAUAAUAAAUCAGUAGAUCACCUUCGAUCCAUCACUAUGAUUGGAAGAACAUCUCAGUAUUACCUGCUGUUGGGUAAAAUAGCACUACUGUUAAUUCUACAGUAGGACUUUUUAACUUUCUCCUACUCCCCUUUGUAAGAGACAAACGAGGUAUGGGUGAGCAAUCCAGAUAUUUGAGGAUUAAAUGAAACAUGUUGAACAUCUGAUUUUAUAUAAGAUGCUGUAAAAAGCCGAAGUGAAAUAGGUGUGCUAUGCCAUGACCUCCACUCAGCCUGCUUAGGAGGCUGAAGGCUGGGGGCCUAUUAGUCCUGGGGGAAGCUGUGAUUAGACAUGGUCCUUUCACGCAUCAGAAUCACGUUUGCUACGAAGUCUCGUAGCAAACAUCAGAUUUUUAGAUUAACUGUAAAUGUUAAUAAAUGAAUAUUACACUAACCUACUUUUGAAUUCUAGGAAUUUUGGAGAGUAAAAGGCUGAACCUUGUUAAAGAGAAAACCAUUAAUCAGACCAUCGGCAACGUUGUCUACCAUGCUGCCGAUCUGUCGCUGUGGUGGCAGGUGCCGCAGUACUUGCUGAUUGGGAUCAGCGAGAUCUUUGCAAGUAUCGCAGGCCUGGAAUUUGCAUACUCAGCUGCCCCCAAGUCCAUGCAGAGUGCCAUAAUGGGCUUGUUCUUUUUCUUCUCUGGCGUCGGGUCGUUCGUGGGUUCUGGACUGCUGGCACUGGUGUCUAUCAAAGCCAUCGGAUGGAUGAGCAGUCACACAGACUUUGGUAAUAUUAACGGCUGCUAUUUGAACUAUUACUUUUUUCUUCUGGCUGCUAUUCAAGGAGCUACCCUCCUGCUUUUCCUCAUUAUUUCUGUGAAAUAUGACCAUCAUCGAGACCAUCAGCGAUCAAGAGCCAAUGGCGUGCCCACCAGCGGGAGGGCCUGACCUUCCUGAGGCCAUGUGCGGUUUCUGAGGCUGACAUGUCAGUAACUGACUGGGGUGCACUGAGAACAGGCAAGACUUUAAACUCCCAUAAAAUGUCUGACUUCACUGAAACUUGCAUGUUGCCUGGAUUGAUUUCUUCUUUCCCUCUAUCCAAAGGAGCUUGGUAAGUGCCUUACUGCAGCGUGUCUCCUGGCACGCUGGGCCCUCCGGGAGGAGAGCUGCAGAUUUCGAGUAUGUUGCUUGUCAUUCAAGGUCUCUGUGAAUCCUCUAGCUGGGUUCCCUUUUUUACAGAAACUCACAA
rnacentral:sRNA from 1 species